rnacentral:rRNA from 1 species
AGGACGAACGCUGGCGGCGUGCUUAACACAUGCAGGUCGAGCGGUAAGGCCUUUCGGGGUACACGAGCGGCGAACGGGUGAGUAACACGUGGGUGAUCUGCCCUGCACUCUGGGAUAAGCCUGGGAAACUGGGUCU